rnacentral:misc_RNA from 1 species
GGGAAGACCUUCUCCGCUGGAUUUUAUUUAUUUAUUUAUUAUUUUUUUAAAUUUUAUUCUGUCUAUCAAUCCUUAAGGUCUUGGAAUGCCUCCAUGGUUUUUGUGGUCUGCAGUGUGGGUUUUCCUGCCCCUUCUUUUUACUCGUCUUCCAUAUGAGCUAAUAUGAACUGUGGCAUAAGCUGAGUUAUUUAGUUGUUUAUUAAUAUUUUAUUGUUUUGUUUAUCACCUCCAAAUUUAGAAAGGCUAGUGGGAUUUUGGUCCUAAAUUUUGUUUGUGUUGAUUUUAUUUGGGAGGUUGGCUGGGGCUUUUGUUUCUUCCUUUUGAUCUGUCUCUUCACUUCUGAUGGUGUAUAUACAAAGUAGCUAAACCUUUAUAAUUUUUGGGUCCUCUAAUAAAAUUUUUAGUUAGAUUGCCCUUUUUUUCUGCAUUCCUGUAGUUUUUAUAUGGUUACAUUACCAUUGUAUGCCUGCAUGCAGCAUUCUUCGUCUGCAGGGAAUGUGGCAGCAAAUGGAACUGGGCCUUCAGAAUCAGCAGAUGAUGACUUGCCUAGUGUCAUGACCUGUGCUAAUUACCUGAAGCUUCCUCCAUACUCUACCAAGGAAAUAAUGUACAAGAAACUGCUAUAUGCAAUCAGUGAAGGGCAGGGAUCCUUUGAUUUGUCUUGAGUUUUGACUAACUGGUUGAGUGGUGUAUAUUGUAUCACAAGAAUCUUCAGGAUCAUUGCUUUUUUUACUGGAUAAAUUUGAUAUAGAAAGUAGCACCUGUCCUGCUCAAUAAUGGCUUCUUUUUGGUGGCCCUUUAAACUAAUGGUGUCCUCAAGGUCAGUUCCUAAAAUUUUUAAGGAAUUCUCAUCUGGGCGAAUUUUGUUUAGGGCCUGAUGGAAUUUGUGCUUGGCUGGGUCUUUCUGUUGGCCUUGAAAUUUAAAGUUUAUAUUCAAUUUAAAGAAAUUGAAAUUAUUGUCCAUAGUUCAUCAAAUGCCUUGGUUCCUUAAAAGUCUCAAACUAAAAUUUUGUUCAGGUUGGUUGCCUUAUUUUCAUGCUGUAAAGAGGGAACAUGUGUAAAGAAGAGGGAACAUGUGGAGGAGGUUCAGCUUCUAAUGCUUGUAAAUAAAUAGGAA